rnacentral:misc_RNA from 1 species
AAAGCUGUCAGCAUAGAUGAAGAUUUGCCAAGGGAUAGUCAAGAUAUUAGAUUACGAAUGGAUGGUUUAUUUGAGAAUAAGGAACAAGCAAUGCACUUUACAAAAGAGUUCAUAGCAUUAUAUACAAAUGGACCUGCUGGUGGGGGCGGUAUCAGGUCUAAUUCAUACCAUUUACUGUGACCUAUAUCAGAAAAUUGUUGAAAUG